CUGAUGUCAUCUGCUCCAAGGUCACUGGGUUUAUGCAGGCAGGGAUUUUCCCCUGGAAUUCCCGCAAGUGGAAUCCGAGCUCCAGCAAACUCACAUAUCAGGGGUAUUCAUCCUUAAAACUGUGGCCUAUGUCCAGGCCAUGACGCAAGAGAGGACGCUCGACGCAAUAUCGUACCACCGAGCCAUGUGAAUCAUCACCCCGAGCAGCUCCCCAUCCCUUCCAGCAAAAAAAGGGGAGAAAAAGUAAACAAAACAACCCCUGAGGCUGUGCACUUAGGUGAUGGGUUUAGUAAGGCUCGACUUUAUCAGGCCAGUCUAAAUAAACUCUGCUUAACAACGUGGGGAAUUAAUUGGACCAGAAGCUCUAAGAACGUGUUCUGAGCAGUGCUGACGUAAUUCCAGUGUGGGAGCCGCACCCGCUGGACUCCUCCAGAGCCCUGGGAUAAAAGUCAGGGCAGGAUCCUCCUGACUUCAAGUGAGAAGAGUUCAGGUAUUUCCCAACUCUACAACGUCCAAUCCACGGGGAAAUAUGACAGUCCCGGGAAUUUUCUGUGCUAAAUCCCUGUACUGAGGGUUUGACCAUCAUUUGGGCGAGCUGCAUUCCCGCUCCGAGAUCCCCGAGCCACCUGCAUUCCAUCCCGCCGCGUUAAAACAUCCCCGAGGAGCGUCCGCGCCGCCACCAGAUGCCAGCACAAAAUGGCAAACACGGCUUGGGAGUGAAGGGAGUGGAAAUCCCCAUUCCCUGCGCUCCAGGUCCAGCCUGCAGCCCUUAAUCGCCAUCUCCCCCGCCGCGGCCACGUGCUCGGACCGGGGGGAGCUGAGCGCGCCUUUCCCAUCGCUUCCCAUUCCCCUUCCAGGCUGUGGCUCCCCACCAGCCCCAUCCUCAGUCUCACGUCCUCCCGGUACCCCGAACCCCGCGGGGCCGUCCGCAGGCCAGGUGAGCAGCCCAGCUCCCCCCACGGCCCCCGGAGCAGGAGCACGGGCAAGCCGUGACCUCGGGGCAUCCUGAGUCACCGCGGGCACGGAGCGGGCACGGAGCGGGCACGGAGCGGACACGGAGCGGGCACCGAGCGGGCACAGCUGGGACACAGCUCGGGCCAGCCCCAGACACAACCACACGACACCCGCCGGUCCCGGGAGAAUCCCUCAAAUUUCGAAUCACACAGGAAUGUUGGGGAAUGGUUUCUCAGGGUGUUGCUUCUCCAUCUUGCAUUUUUUUCCUAUCACUCACCGGACUGCAGCGAGCAGAGCCGUGGGUCUUUUGUUUUCCGGGAAAAGUGAGUAAUCCCUGGUGAGGAAUCCAUUCUGGUGUGGUUCGAGGUGCAAAGGCAACCUUGCAAACCAGUCGUCAUCUCGCCCCUGAGCUGGGAAGUCGGGAAAUUCCAUCUCCUUCAUAGGGUUUGGUUUUGUUUUUUAUUUUUGUGGUUUUUUGUUGUUGUUUGGCUGUUUGUUUUGAGUGGGGUUUUUUUGGGCUGUUUGGUUUAUUUUGUGGCCUAGAACUCGAGAUGAAGCGGGAAAAAAUGUAAAAAAAAGUUAAAUCUUUGGACUUUUUGCUGUUACACAAACGGCUCUGCUGCUGCACGUUAUCAGGGGAGUGCGUGAGAAGCAUUAAUUCCAAGGACAAUCUGAUUUUAUGGAGGUGGUGGAGGUGUGGUGGGAGUUGGAAUGGAGUGGUAGAGGGGCUUCAGGAACGGCAGGAAGGGGAGACUUCAGCGCCCAUUCCAGCAUCUGAAGGGGCUCCGAGAGAGCUUUUCCAGGUCUCUUCCAACCGAAACCGUUCUGGGCAGAGAAGGCAGAGAGAAGAUUGUUAAUAUAUUCCUGAUCUUGAACUCUUGAACCAACCCUCGUGAGCCGAGUUCCUGUCCCCUCCCCGGUGACUCACCGGAGGAUGGCAGAAAUCCCUUUUUUGCUGCCGGUUUACAAACCCUGCCCGAGGUAACAAAAUCUGCAGGUGGCAGCCUGAAAAAUGCAGCCAGAGCCAGAGCGGGAGAAAUUCUGCUCGCCGGGAAAGUUCCGGCACCGCAGGGAAAGGGCUGAUGAAAAUUGGCAGUGCCAAGGGGCUCCUGAGCAGCCUCCCUGGGAGGAGGGCAGGGAGGCUCCUUGGAUCCAGCUGGAUGAGCAGGGGGAUCACAGCUGAUCCACCCCGGUGUGACAUUGGUGGCUGGGUUCUUUAUCCCUAGGACUGAUUGAUGAGAGUGAAACUGGUUUUAUCGUGUUUGAGCACUCCAGAUGUGGAUAUUUGGGAAGCACCUUCUCUUUGGCCACUGCAGGACGAGCCGUGACCACCUGGUUGUCUCCUGGCAAGUGAUUAUCCAUCCAGGCUGUGCCACAAUUAGUGAAGCUGAGGUGGGAUUUCAAGGAGAAUUCCUGCUCGUUUCCUGGUUUGGUGUUUCUAUUACAAGCCCCAGAAAGUAUGUGGAGAUUUCUGUUUAACCAAAACCACGUGUUUUGUGCUCUGGACACCGCUGCCUGCAGCUGAAGUCAUUGGAGUCCUCACAGAAUGAUUCAUUUUUCAGUUAGAGCAGAGCUAGAAUGAGGUUUGGGUCUAGGACUACAGAUAAAUGCCAAUCCAUGUGCCAAUGGGAUGGGGAAGGAUUCAUCCUCUCAGAAAAAUCAGCCUGAUGCUCUUUAGGGAGCUGCUGUGCCUGAAUUCAGCCAGGAAAAACCGGGAUGUGUGGCAAGGGGCACAUGGAAGCGGAACAUCCCAGUUUGCCCCGGUUCCACAGCCAUCGCAGCAGUGGAUGGCCUCUCCUCAGCAUCCAGAUCCCAUCCUCAUCCCACCAAACAUAUUUUGGGAAGCCUCAGGUUUUUCGCUCUCUGUCUCAGUCUCCCCGUUUAUAAAACCACCCUGAGCUGUCUGCUCUGACAAACCACGGGGAGAAUAUUUGCACAAAGGCAGCUCAGUGUCCCUCUCCCAGUUCCCAGCCAUCCCAAGGAGCAGGACACUGGGCAGGACACACCAUUCCCUCUCCCAGCAGGAUUUUCCACCCCAGAUUAAGCACUGUGGUUUUCAUUUGAGGUGGAUUUUUGGCCACGAGUGAGAAAGGGGUGUGUGUUUAUCGCCCAGGUCCAGACCUGCAGCCCUUAUCACCCCCAGCCUGUUUGUCCCACAGCUCCCUCUGCACCAGGAAUCCCCUGGAGCUGGGAAGCUGCAUCCAGCACAACACUGGGGGGAAAUUGGGCACGUUGAGAACAAGAGGGGACCCUUCGGUUUUGGGGUCUUAAAUCCUCGCCUGGCUUGCUCAGUUCUGCUGCAAGUGGAGAAUAAAGUGAGUCUGAGGGUUGGAGCAGGAGCUUGGCUCAACCCCUGUGGAGAGGGGCAUCUGGAGCCCAAAAUUCCCACAGGGAAGGGAGGAUAAUGAAGGGAGCCUGGGGAAGCUGAUCAUAAUCAGCCGCAGCUCUUGGAUAACCUCAGCCAGGCUCCUCCUCCGGCACACGCUGACACUUUGGACCCUCAAAACGAUCCUGUCCCAUCUGACUCAUCGCUUGUUUGUUCAGCAUCCAGCUCUGCCAAACGCUGGGGCUCUAAUCCUCCCUCCUCUUCCCUCCCUGAGCCCCUGAUGCGGGGCCGUGACCCUCAGAGCACCCCGGGGAGCUGUUGGGGUACGUGACCAUUUCUGGUUUAUUUUUGAACAUCCCAUCCAGUUUUACCUUCAUUUCUGUCUCUGCUUCCCUCCUGUUUCAGUGUCUGGGAGGGUUCAGAGGCUGUGCCAGAAUUUUGACCUCCUCCCCCCGUCCCGGCUUUGUCCUGACAAAUUAUUUGCCUCAUAAAUUCCAAGUUCCUCUUUGAAACAGAAAUAAAAAAAAAGAAAAAAAUAAAUAAAAAAAUAAA